AAACCAACCGGGAUUGCCUUAGUAACGGCGAGUGAAGCGGCAAAAGCUCAAAUUUGAAAUCUGGCACCUUCGGUGCCCGAGUUGUAAUUUGGAGAGGGCAACUUUGGGGCCGUUCCUUGUUUAUGUUCCCUUGGACCAGGACGUCAUAGAGGGUGAGA
rnacentral:rRNA from 1 species